UACAGAGGGUGCAAGCGUUAAUCGGAAUUACUGGGCGUAAAGGGCGCGUAGGCGGAUAGUUAAGUUAGAUGUGAAAUCCCUGGGCUUAACCUAGGAACUGCAUCUAAGACUGGCUAACUGGAGUGCGGUAGAGGGUAGUGGAAUUUCCGGUGUAGCGGUGAAAUGCGUAGAUAUCGGAAGGAACACCAGUGGCGAAGGCGGCUACCUGGACUGACACUGACGCUGAGGCGCGAGAGCGUGGGGAGCAAACAGG
rnacentral:rRNA from 1 species